GGGUGCUUGAGGCUUUCUGUCUUAAGUACACCGGGCAGAAAGAGAAAAGCCCCACUCGACUAUAAAUCGAAUGAGGCCAAUCCGAUGCCUGAACAACAGAAGAUUAGCCUCUUAAUUGUGAUAAAUCAAUCAGGAGGUU
rnacentral:antisense_RNA from 1 species